rnacentral:rRNA from 1 species
CCUACGGGGGACAGCAGUAGGGAAUAUUGCUCAAUGGGGGCAACCCUGAAGCAGCAACGCCGCGUGGAGGAUGAAGGUUUUCGGAUUGUAAACUCCUUUUGUUAGAGAAGAUAAUGACGGUAUCUAACGAAUAAGCACCGGCUAACGCCGUGCCAGCAGGCGCGGUAAUACGGAGGGUGCAAGCGUUACUCAGAAUCACUGGGCGUAAAGAGCGCGUAGGCGGGAUAGCGAGUCAGAUGUGAAAUCCUAGGGCUUAACCAUAGAACUGCAUUUGAAACUGUUAUUCUAGAGUAUGGGAGAGGUAGGUGGAAUUCUUGGUGUAGGGGUAAAAUCCGUAGAGAUCAAGAGGAAUACUCAUUGCGAAGGCGACCUGCUAGAACAUAACUGACGCUGAUGCGCGAAAGCGUGGGGAGCAAACAGGAUUAGAUACCCUAGUAGUC